rnacentral:rRNA from 1 species
AUUGAACGCUGGCGGCAGGCCUAACACAUGCAAGUCGAGCGGAUCGGCGGACGGGUGAGUAAUGCCUAGGAAUCUGCCUGGUAGUGGGGGAUAACGUCCGGAAACGGGCGCUAAUACCGCAUACUAUCAGAUGAGCCUGGGUGUGGUUAGCUAGUUGGUGGGUUAAAUGGCUACCAAGGCGACGAUCCGUAACUGGUCUGCGUGGAUGAUCAGUCACACUGGAACUGAGACACGGUCCAGACUCCUACGGGAGGCAGCAGUGGGGAAUAUUGGACAAUGGGCGAAAGCCUUGUACAGCCAUGCCGCGUGUGUGAAGAAGGUCUUCGGAUUGUAAAGCACUUUAAGUUGGGAGGCGUUACCAACAGAAGAAGCACCGGCUAACUACGUGCCAGCAGCCGCGGUAAUAC